GUGGGAGGGGGCUUGCCCCCGAUGGCGACGGAUCAGUCAGUACUUCAGUGACUGAUACACCGCUAUCGGGGGCAAGCCCCCUCCCAC
rnacentral:misc_RNA from 1 species